rnacentral:rRNA from 1 species
GGAAUAUUGCACAAUGGGCGAAAGCCUGAUGCAGCCAUGCCGCGUGAGUGAUGAAGGCCUUAGGGUUGUAAAGCUCUUUCACCGGUGAAGAUAAUGACGGUAGCCGGAGAAGAAGCCCCGGCUAACUCCGUGCCAGCAGCCGCGGUAAUACGGGGGGAGCAAGCGUUGUUCGGAUUUACUGGGCGUAAAGGGCGCGUAGGCGGUCAGCACAAGUCAGUUGUGAAAUCUCCGAGCUUAACUCGGAAAGGUCAACUGAUACUGUGCGACUAGAGUGCAGAAGGGGCAACUGGAAUUCUCGGUGUAGCGGUGAAAUGCGUAGAUAUCGAGAGGAACACCUGCGGCGAAGGCGGGUUGCUGGGCUGACACUGACGCUGAGGCGCGAAAGCUAGGGGAGCGAA